rnacentral:rRNA from 1 species
CAGCAGUCGCCACGGGAAUACGUAGGGUGCAAGCGUUAAUCGGAAUUACUGGGCGUAAAGCGUGCGCAGGCGGUUAUAUAAGACAGAUGUGAAAUCCCCGGGCUCAACCUGGGAACUGCAUUUGUGACUGUAUAGCUAGAGUACGGCAGAGGGGGAUGGAAUUCCGCGUGUAGCAGUGAAAUGCGUAGAUAUGCGGAGGAACACCGAUGGCGAAGGCAAUCCCCUGGGCCUGUACUGACGCUCAUGCACGAAAGCGUGGGGAGCAAACAGGAUUAGAUACCCGUGUAGUCCCUGUCUCUUAUAA